GCCACAGACGAGCGGCGACCGCGGCCUCUUCCAAAACUAGAGGCAGACAGGCCGGCGUGGAAAACCCCGGGCAACCCAGCACCACUCAGAGGGGAAGAGUCCUCACCUGGCCCAGCAGCGCUAAUGAGUCCCAGGCUCCGCCCCCGGCCGGAGGCUGACCCCGCCCACUGGAUUAUGCAUGCGCAGAGACAAUCCCAGGGGCAGGCCGUGCGCCUGAAGACGUCCUUGACGGAGGGGCAGGGUCCCUGUCAGGGAGGGCACCCCCUGUAAGCCACAGACGAAUGGCGACCGCGGCUUCCUCCAAAACUGCAGAGACACAGGACAGCGGGGAAAGGCCCCGGCAAGCAAAACCCACACAGAGGGGAAGAGUCCUCACCUGGCCCAGCAGUGCUGAUGAGCCCCAGACUCCGCCCCCGGCUGGAGCUUGACCCCGCCCCCCAGACUCUGCCUGCACAAAGGGGCUCUUCUCAGGGUCUACGCUUGAGGGUGCAGCCCCAGGGGCACGCCGAGCGACCGAAGGCGCCCUAAACGGAGGGGCGGGGUCACUGUCCGAGACGGCACCCCCUGUACGCCAUAGACAAGCGGCUACCGCGGCCUCCUCCAAAACUGCAGGCAGACAGGGCGGCGCAGAAAGCCCAGGGCAACCCAACCCCACUGAAAGGGCAGACAGGCCGGCGCAGAAAUCCCCGGCAACCCAGCACCACUCAGAGGGGAAGAGUCCUCCCCUGGCCCAGCAGCGAAUGAAGAGCCCGAGGCUCCGCCCCUGGCUCAGAGCCUGACCCCGCCCACUGGACGGCGCGUGC